UAUGCCCAGAGAGCUUGUAAGGUUUGCCGUUCCAGGGGUGUUAGAAAAGAUGUGCGGUAUUUUUGUCCCAAGUGUCCUAGCAAGCCUGCUUUGUGUUUCCAACCCUGUUUUGAGGUGUACCAUACUAUGGUACACUACAAGAGGACUUGAAUUAUGUGUUGUGUUGGUAGGUUAGGGCUCUCGGGGUUUUUUGGUGGUAAAAGGAUUUAGUAAAUCUGUAUAGUAAGCUUGGCAUUCUCUAGUUAGGUGGUUAGGUGUGCUGGCAAAGUGAUGCACUUUUUUUGUGUUUUGUGCAGUGGUUUUUCAGAUUCAGGCCCCCCAUUGAGAUCAUUUAGGCAGGUCCCUUCUUCACUUAUAACUAGGUUAUAGAUAUUGGUAUUAUUAUAAUGAUAUUUAUGGUGUAGGAUUUGGCACAGGGUUAGCAAUUUUUGUGCUGUGUAGCAGUAAAACAAUUGUAUGUAGGUUUGUUAGUCUAUGCAUUCAGCUUUUGUGUUGAGCUAUGGUGCUUUAGGCCAGUUGUAGUGUUAUGGAUAGCACUUGUAUUGCGCUGGUACUAUAGCGAACUGAGGUGCUGGUUGGCCAAGAGGGCGCUCGAUAGAACUUGUGGAUGAUGAGCAUCUCUAAUGCUGAUGCCACAAGUGGUUUUUUUUACUGGCACCUCAAAAGCUCAUCUAUCAGCGCAGUUAUCUAUAGUUUUGUCUGUAUUUCUGGGCAACAUUUGCAUUAGUUUUUGUAGAUUUAGGCAUCUCUGGAUUUCUGGGUAGUAUGUCUUCAGUUUUCUUGAAUAGUAAAGGUUUUUGAGCACAGGGUGACCAAAACACUAUGGUCUAUUGUUUAGAUUUCUUCUUAGUGUAUGCUUAGUGUAUGCAUUCAGCAUAUUUUUCCUGAUAAGUUGUAGUUGGAAUAAUCCAUUUUUUUGUACUUAUAGCACAAAUUGAAUAUAUAUGCAGUGUUUAGGUUAGACUAAGUUGCAGUGCUCUCUGAAUAGGAAUAGCAAUUUGCCAUGUGUGGCACCAGCUUUUUACAAACUGCUGCUGGGCAUCAUUUUAUCUCAGCUGCUAAUGCCCAAUCCUUAUUGUUGCCACCUAAAUUCCUAAACUUCCUAAACACUUGCAUAAUUUAUGGGCCAAAUUUACUAUGGAUUUUGCUGGUAAAUAUAUCUGCAAAUGUGGUACAGAUUUUGUUAUUGCUGAAAUAGUGUAGGAAGAAGCAAACAAAUUGGUAUUGUAACACCACAGAACAGAUGAAACUCAAAGACGCUCCACUGAAUCCAAAAUGACCAAAGCACAGAGUUUUACAAUGGAAUGCAACCACAAUUCUCCACGUAGUAAAGCAGGAAUGGCAUCUCUGAAUAGUUGAAGACCACAGUGCUGAUUUCUAUGAAGGACUGCAGCCACAAUUCUCUGUGUAGAAAAGCAAGCAUGGCAUCUUUGAAUAGCUGAAGAAGUGUACUUUUCGGAUAUAUAUAUGGUUUAUGGGUGUUAUUUCACAGGUAAGGGGCAGUUUAGGAUGAAAAAACUUAAAUUGCACAUAAAUUCGCAGCCCGAAUAUUACACAUUGUGCCUGUUUUGGGGUGUUUGGUGGCUGCGUCUCUAUGUGUAUCCAGAAAUAUGGGGUAUCGUUCUAUGCAGGGAAACUUGCAGAUUGUUAUUGAGCAGGUUUUUGUUAGUUGCCAUGGAAACUUUGGAAGAAAUCUAACUUUGGAACUAUUUUUUCCUUUAUUUCAGAUCAAAUCGCUGACUUCUAUGAACGACUGCGCCCACAAUUCUCUUUGAAUAGCUGAAGAAGUGUACUUUUCGGACAAAUGUAGUUUGGGGAUGUUUAGACUGAAAAACUGCAAGUAGUACACAUAGAUACAUUGGAUUAUCCUAUCACAGUAACUACA